rnacentral:rRNA from 1 species
CUAAUAUUCCGCCAUGGACGAAAGUCUGACGGAGCGACGCCGCGUGGAUGACGAAGGCCGACCGGUUGUAAAGUCCUUUUGCUGGGGAAGAAUAACCAUGGGAGGGAAUGCCCGUGGGAUGACAUGAACCGGCGAAUAAGCCCCGGCUAACUACGUGCCAGCAGCCGCGGUAACACGUAGGGGGCGAGCGUUGUUCGGAAUUACUGGGCGUAAAGGGCAUGUAGGCGGCUUGGUAAGCCUGGCGUGAAAGUCACCGGCUCAACCGGUGGAUUGCGUUGGGAACUGCUGAGCUUGAAUCACGGAGAGGGAGCUAGAAUUCCAGGUGUAGGGGUGAAAUCUGUAGAGAUCUGGAAGAAUACCAGUGGCGAAGGCGAGCUCCUGGCCGAUGAUUGACGCUGAGGUGCGAAAGUGUGGGGAUCAAACA